GAUGAACGCUAGCUACAGGCUUAACACAUGCAAGUCGAGGGGAAACGAUAGAGAAAACUUGCUUUUUCUAGGCGUCGACCGGCGCACGGGUGAGUAACGCGUAUCCAACCUGCCCAUCACUUGGGGAUAACCUUGCGAAAGUAAGACUAAUACCCAAUGACGUCUCUAGAAGACAUCUGAAAGAGAUUAAAGACUUAUCGGUGAUGGAUGGGGAUGCGUCUGAUUAGCUUGUUGGCGGGGUAACGGCCCACCAAGGCGACGAUCAGUAGGGGUUCUGAGAGGAAGGUCCCCCACAUUAGAACUGGGACACGGUCCAAACUCCUACGGGAGGCAGCAGUGAGGAAUAUUGGUCAAUGGACGAGAGUCUGAACCAGCCAAGUAGCGUGCAGGAUGACGGCCCUAUGGGUUGUAAACUGCUUUUAUAAGGGAAUAAAGUGAGUCUCGUGAGACUUUUUGCAUGUACCUUAUGAAUAAGGACCGGCUAAUUCCGUGCCAGCAGCCGCCGUAA
rnacentral:rRNA from 1 species